rnacentral:rRNA from 1 species
UGUCCAGACUCCUACGGGAGGCAGCAGUGGGGAAUAUUGCACAAUGGGGGAAACCCUGAUGCAGCGACGCCGCGUGAGCGAUGAAGUAUUUCGGUAUGUAAAGCUCUAUCAGCAGGGAAGAAAAUGACGGUACCUGACUAAGAAGCCCCGGCUAACUACGUGCCAGCAGCCGCGGUAAUACGUAGGGGGCAAGCGUUAUCCGGAUUUACUGGGUGUAAAGGGAGCGUAGACGGAAAGGCAAGUCAGAAGUGAAAGCCCAAGGCUCAACCAUGGGACUGCUUUUGAAACUGUCAAACUAGAGUACGGGAGAGGGAAGAGGAAUUCCUAGUGUAGCGGUGAAAUGCGUAGAUAUUAGGAGGAACACCAGUGGCGAAGGCGUCGUACUGGACCGAAACUGACGUUGAGGCUCGAAAGCGUGGGGAGCAAACAGGAUUAGAUACCCCAGUAGGG